AACGAACGCUGGCGGCAGGCCUAACACAUGCAAGUCGAGCGAACCCUUCGGGGUUAGCGGCGGACGGGUUAGUAACGCGUGGGAAUAUACCCUUUGGUACGGAAUAGCCUCGGGAAACUGAGAGUAAUACCGUAUGUGCCCUUCGGGGGAAAGAUUUAUCGCCAAAGGAUUAGCCCGCGUUGGAUUAGAUAGUUGGUGGGGUAAUGGCCUACCAAGUCUACGAUCCAUAGCUUGUUUGAGAGGAUGAUCAGCAACACUGGGACUGAGACACGGCCCAGACUCCUACGGGAGGCAGCAGUGGGGAAUCUUAGACAAUGGGCGCAAGCCUGAUCUAGCCAUGCCGCGUGGACGAUGAAGGCCUUAGGGUUGUAAAGUCCUUUCAGAUGGGAAGAUAAUGACGGUACCAUCAGAAGAAGCCCCGGCUAACUCCGUG
rnacentral:rRNA from 1 species